rfam:Phycisphaerae bacterium SM23_30 WORSMTZ_5593, whole genome shotgun sequence.
UCCACCGUGAGGUGGAGUCUGAAGGGUUUGCGGAGCAGUAUCGGGCCGUAGUCAAAGGGAGCCAUCCCGCGGACGAACCGGUCGGCCAAAGAUGGGACCAGGUCGAGCCUGCAGUAUGGAGGCGAAGGCGUUUUCAUCCACCCAUCAUACCAAGGUAUGUGCGGACGGCACGAUACGGAAGAGCUAAGUGU